rnacentral:rRNA from 1 species
GACGAACGCUGGCAGCGUGCUUAACACAUGCAAGUCGACCUGAAAGGCGCUUCGGGGUGCUCGAGUGGCAGACGCGCGUAUAACACUUGGCUGACAUUCCCUGCCCUUUGGUAUAAGCGUAGGCUACUGGGUCUAAUUCUGAAUUGGGCCCCGCGUUGCAUUGUGAGAGGUGUAAGUCUUUUGGGGUGGGGUUUGGGCCCGUGGCCUAUUUGCUUGGUGGUGGGGUAAUGGCCUACCAAGGCGACGGCGGGUAGCCGGCCGUAGAGGGUGACAGGCCACACUGGGACUGAGGAAAGGCCCAGACUCCUACGGGAGGGAGGAGGGGGGAAUAUUGCACAAUGGGCGCAAGACUGAUGCAGCGACGCCGCGUGUGGGAUGACGGCCUUCGGGUUGUAAACCUCUUUCAAUAGGGACGAAGCGCAAGUGACGGUACCUAUAGAAGAAGCACCGGCCAACUACGUG